rnacentral:rRNA from 1 species
GACGAACGCUGGCGGCGUGCUUAACACAUGCAAGUCGAACGGAAAGGCCCUGCUUUUGUGGGGUGCUCGAGUGGCGAACGGGUGAGUAACACGUGAGUAACCUGCCCUUGACUUUGGGAUAACUUCAGGAAACUGGGGCUAAUACCGGAUAGGAGCUCCUGCUGCAUGGUGGGGGUUGGAAAGUUUCGGCGGUUGGGGAUGGACUCGCGGCUUAUCAGCUUGUUGGUGGGGUAGUGGCUUACCAAGGCUUUGACGGGUAGCCGGCCUGAGAGGGUGACCGGCCACAUUGGGACUGAGAUACGGCCCAGACUCCUACGGGAGGCAGCAGUGGGGAAUCUUGCACAAUGGGCGGAAGCCUGAUGCAGCAACGCCGCGUGCGGGAUGACGGCCUUCGGGUUGUAAACCGCUUUCGCCUGUGACGAAGCGUGAGUGACGGUAAUGGGUAAAGAAGCACCGGCUAACUACGU